CUUAUCCCCAUCUCCACCGCAGUCCGCAGCAAUCACAGCUACCCUCCCCGCCUAUUUGCGCCGCCGUGUGAGAGAUCUCGCCGGCGGCUCCCACCGCAACAAUCGCAGCACAGACAGCCCACGCCACGACCCUCGAAUCCCCAUUCCAGCAGCAGGUUUCCGGUCCAGCACGCCGCCCCCUUGCACAACCACUAGCUGAUCCGCGACACGGCACCGGAGGCGGCCUUCACCGUGAGGCGGUACCAGACUACCAGCUUCCUGCGUGGUCUGUCGGGAUCUCGUCCUCGUUCCACAAGGGACUCGUGGACCAGCAAUACAAGGCCCUGGCGAGUAUGAGUCGCCUGGUGACCGGGGGCCCGCCGACUACAUCGUUGCGCUCUUCGAGUCCCCGGCUACUUCCUCGCGCCGCCGGACAGAUCCUUAUUCCCCCGGCUACAUCCUCUUGUUUCCGGGCUACAUCCUCGCUUCACCGGUGACAUCCUGUGGUAAGAUGGACACAAUGAAGUAGAGUUUGGGAUGUCAUGGUGUGCUGGAUCUGGAGGGGCAUGCUAUAACAUUCCUAUUUUGAGCUGAUGCAGAAACAGCCAGGCUUUGAGAAGAGGAGGGACUUGUAUCUCCUUUACCACUACCUGAAUCACUACAACCUUUUCAGCUCUUGGUACCGCUCAUCAGCUAUGUCCAUAAUUGAAAACUACUUGUGGAUGUUGAAGCAAGGUGGCGAGAGACGGAAGAUCGCUUGCAACCAUCAUCCAGGGUGAAGGCUCACCUCCGGUACCUGUAGGGACAGGGCAACAUCAGUUCGUUGGUGGCGGUGCUGGUGUCCCUCCCUACUAGACAGAACAGCUCGCUGCUGUUCCCGUUUGGCCUCUACGCCAAGCAGCUCUCCGUCACUCUUUCACCACCACACAUCCAUCAAGCCGUUUGUGAACCACAAGCCCUUCCACCAACAGGAUCCCGCCAAUCAUUGCCUUGCGGAGACUUCCAUGACCGAGCCACCACUGCUGCCAUCACCACGCAGCUCCGUUACUGGAGGACCGGUGACUUGCCGCUACUCGCGGGGUCGCCGCACCUCGACCUUGUCGAGGGCCUCUAGACCAUCUGUGUCGCUGGCAGCUCCUUCCUCUGCCAUGGGUUCGCAAUCCACAUGUAUGUAGUACUACUCAAACUGAUCUGCGCGUACUACCAGUAGUGUGUACUACUACUCAAUCUGCCUCUGCUUAUGCAUUUGUACUGAUGUCAAAGCUCAUAUGACCGUUUGUACGAUGUGGUUACUGUAAUGCUUUUUGUAGAUGUAACUCCAGCUUUUUGUUGUGUGUCAGAUUCCAUAUCCUGUUUCUAGAUGUAAUCAAAUGUUUUAAUUUUGACUAGAUGGGAGGUUUUAGGUUCUGUCCUAUAUGUAAUAUGAUGCCUUUGUGCUUUGAUAAACAAUAUGCGUCCUUUUGUA